rnacentral:rRNA from 1 species
AGAGUUUGAUCAUGGCUCAGAUUGAACGCUGGCGGCAUGCCUUACACAUGCAAGUCGAACGGCAGCACGGGGGCAACCCUGGUGGCGAGUGGCGAACGGGUGAGUAAUGCAUCGGAACGUGCCCAGUAGUGGGGGAUAACCAGUCGAAAGAUUGGCUAAUACCGCAUACGACCUACGGGUGAAAGCGGGGGACCGCAAGGCCUCGCGCUAUUGGAGCGGCCGAUGUCCGAUUAGCUAGUUGGCGGGGUAAGAGCCCACCAAGGCGACGAUCGGUAGCUGGUCUGAGAGGACGACCAGCCACACUGGGACUGAGACACGGCCCAGACUCCUACGGGAGGCAGCAGUGGGGAAUUUUGGACAAUGGGCGCAAGCCUGAUCCAGCCAUGCCGCGUGCGGGAAGAAGGCCUUCGGGUUGUAAACCGCUUUCGGCCGGAACGAAAUCGCCCGGGUGAAUAGCCCGGGUGGAUGACGGUACCGGAAGAAGAAGCACCGGCUAACUACGUGCCAGCAGCCGCGGUAAUACGUAGGGUGCGAGCGUUAAUCGGAAUUACUGGGCGUAAAGCGUGCGCAGGCGGUUUCGUAAGACAGGUGUGAAAUCCCCGGGCUCAACCUGGGAACUGCGCUUGUGACUGCGAGGCUGGAGUGUGGCAGAGGGAGGUGGAAUUCCACGUGUAGCAGUGAAAUGCGUAGAGAUGUGGAG